UGGAGCUGAGACCAGUCGAAGAUACCAGCUGGCUGCAACUGUUUAUUAAAAACACAGCACUGUGCAAACACGAAAGUGGACGUAUACGGUGUGACGCCUGCCCGGUGCCGGAAGGUUAAUUGAUGGGGUUAUCCGUAAGGAGAAGCUCUUGAUCGAAGCCCCGGUAAACGGCGGCCGUAACUAUAACGGUCCUAAGGUAGCGAAAUUCCUUGUCGGGUAAGUUCCGACCUGCACGAAUGGCGUAAUGAUGGCCAGGCUGUCUCCACCCGAGACUCAGUGAAAUUGAACUCGCUGUGAAGAUGCAGUGUACCCGCGGCAAGACGGAAAGACCCCGUGAACCUUUACUAUAGCUUGACACUGAACAUUGAGCCUUGAUGUGUAGGAUAGGUGGGAGGCUUUGAAGCGUGGACGCCAGUCUGCGUGGAGCCAACCUUGAAAUACCACCCUUUAAUGUUUGAUGUUCUAACGUUGGCCCCUUACCGGGGUUGCGGACAGUGUCUGGUGGGUAGUUUGACUGGGGCGGUCUCCUCCCAAAGCGUAACGGAGGAGCACGAAGGUUAGCUAAUCCUGGUCGGACAUCAGGAGGUUAGUGCAAUGGCAUAAGCUAGCUUGACUGCGAGCGUGACGGCGCGAGCAGGUGCGAAAGCAGGUCAUAGUGAUCCGGUGGUUCUGAAUGGAAGGGCCAUCGCUCAACGGAUAAAAGGUACUCCGGGGAUAACAGGCUGAUACCGCCCAAGAGUUCAUAUCGACGGCGGUGUUUGGCACCUCGAUGUCGGCUCAUCACAUCCUGGGGCUGAAGUAGGUCCCAAGGGUAUGGCUGUUCGCCAUUUAAAGUGGUACGCGAGCUGGGUUUAGAACGUCGUGAGACAGUUCGGUCCCUAUCUGCCGUGGGCGCUGGAGAAUUGAGGGGGGCUGCUCCUAGUACGAGAGGACCGGAGUGGACGCAUCACUGGUGUUCGGGUUGUCAUGCCAAUGGCACUGCCCGGUAGCUAAAUGCGGAAGAGAUAAGUGCUGAAAGCAUCUAAGCACGAAACUUGCCCCGAGAUGAGUUCUCCCUGAGACUUUAAGUCUCCUGAAGGAACGUUAACGACGAUGACGUUUAUCGGCCGGGUGUGUAAGCGCAGCGAUGCGUU
rnacentral:rRNA from 1 species